GAUGAACGCUAGCUACAGGCUUAACACAUGCAAGUCGAGGGGUAACGAGAGGAAAGCUUGCUUUCCUUGUCGACGACCGGCGCACGGGUGAGUAACGCGUAUCCAACCUGCCCCCAACUAAGGAAUAACCUUGCGAAAGUAAGACUAAUACCUUAUAAUUUCCUCAGAUGUCAUCUGACGAGGAAUAAAGAUUUAUCGGUUGUGGAUGGGGAUGCGUCUGAUUAGCUUGUUGGCGGGGUAACGGCCCACCAAGGCAACGAUCAGUAGGGGUUCUGGGAGGAAGCGCCCCCACAUGGGAACUGGGAGACGGUCCAAAUUCCUACGGGAGGCAGCAGUGAGGAAUAUUGGUCAAUGGGCGGAAGCCUGAACCAGCCAAGUAGCGUGCAGGAUGACGGCCCUAUGGGUUGUAAACUGCUUUUAUACAGGAAUAAAGUUAGCCACGUGUGGUUAUUUGUAGGUACUGUAUGAAUAAGGACCGGCUAAUUCCGUGCCAGCCGCCGCGGUAA
rnacentral:rRNA from 1 species